UGUAGCAGUUCAGGUACCAGGAGAUGUAGCCAGGCGGGCAGGGGCUCGUGGUUGGGGGUGGAGGGUCGAUGCUGCUCGCUGAUGUGGAAGCAGAUGGAGAAAUGUCUUAAACAGACGAAGCUUUGAAUCUUAUGACAGGCAUCAUCGUUCCACUUGCCGCUCACCAGAUGGCUGUGAGCCAUCGCCACACAGUGUUCCUGUUGAGAAGGACAACAAAUCUUCAAGCCAUCUAUUAAACACAUGAGCUUUUUAAGCGGUGUAGGUUUUAGUCCUGCCUGUUUGGAGCAAAUCCGUUGGUGUACAGCACAGGGCUGACCCCGUCACUCCAGGCGUACUGAUUCUCUGACACGAGAUCUGACAGGCCGAUCCACGUGGGAAGCUCCAGGUCCCUGAGGGCAGUUUCCAUCCCAGGGCUGUGUGGGUGGAGGAUCUGUGACGACUUGUCCAGGGAACUUCUUACAGACGUAACCUGCUCCAGCCCGACCACAGUUUGCAUCGUUCCAUCCACCUUAACAAGCCAGAAUUCAUAUGUAAAUAUCUCCAACAGGGGUCCGUUCAGCACAAUAAAUAAACAGAUCUA